UCACAUCUGAAGAACUUCCUCCUCUAUCAGUCCCCCUUCUGCUAGCAUCAAAAGACCUUCUAGGGUCCCUUGACACUCUUUCUCUGUUUGAUCUACAUGACAUUGCCUUAGGCAAUGCAGGAGGACGGGCGCUCGUGCCCUCAUCCUCAGGUGGUACUCCAGUCAAUCUUGCAGAUCGACGGGUUCCUCUCAUCCUGUUUUCUGAAAAACAG
rnacentral:lncRNA from 1 species